rnacentral:rRNA from 1 species
CAUUUGAAACUGGCAGGCUAGAGUCUUGUAGAGGGGGGUAGAAUUUCAGGUGUAGCGGUGAAAUGCGUAGAGAUCUGAAGGAAUACCAGUGGCGAAGGCGGCCCCCUGGACAAAGACUGACGCUCAGAUGCGAAAGCGUGGGUAGCAAACAGGAUUAGAUACCCUGGUAGUCCACGCCGUAAACGCUGUCUACUUGGAGGUUGAGGUUUUAGACUUUGGCUUUCGGCGCUAACGCAUUAAGUAGACCGCCUGGGGAGUACGGCCGCAAGGUUAAAACUCAAAUGAAUUGACGGGGGCCCGCACAAGCGGUGGAGCAUGUGGUUUAAUUCGAUGCAACGCGAAGAACCUUACCUACUCUUGACAUCCAGCGAAGCCUUUAGAGAUAGAGGUGUGCCUUCGGGAGCGCUGAGACAGGUGCUGCAUGGCUGUCGUCAGCUCGUGUUGUGAAAUGUUGGGUUAAGUCCCGCAACGAGCGCAACCCUUAUCCUUGUUUGCCAGCACAUAAUGGUGGGAACUCCAGGGAGACUGCCGGUGAUAAACCGGAGGAAGGUGGGGACGACGUCAAGUCAUCAUGGCCCUUACGAGUAGGGCUACACACGUGCUACAAUGGCAGAUACAGAGGGCAGCGAGACAGCGAUGUUUAGCGAAUCCCUUAAAGUUUGUCGUAGUCCGGAUUGGAGUCUGCAACUCGACUCCAUGAAGUCGGAAUCGCUAGUAAUCGUGGAUCAGAAUGCCACGGUGAAUACGUUCCCGGGCCUUGUACACACCGCCCGU